UGGGGAAUAUUGGUCAAUGGGCGAAAGCCUGAACCAGCAAUGCCGCGUGAGUGAUGAAGGCCUUCGGGUUGUAAAGCUCUGUCAGUGGGAACGAAUAAGCCAAUUAAUACCUGGUGAUGACGGUACCCACAAAGGAAGCACCGGCUAACUCUGUGCCAGCAGCCGCGGUAAUACAGAGGGUGCAAGCGUUGUUCGGAAUUACUGGGCGUAAAGCGCGUGUAGGCGGUUUGAUAAGUUGGGUGUGAAAUCCCUCGGCUCAACCGAGGAACUGCAUUCAAAACUGUCAGACUAGAGUAUCGGAGGGGGUGGCGGAAUUCCCGGUGUAGAGGUGAAAUUCGUAGAUAUCGGGAGGAACACCUGUGGCGAAGGCGGCCACCUGGAAGAUUACUGACGCUGAGACGCGAAAGCGUGGGGAGCAAACAGGAUUAGAUACCCCCGUAGUCC
rnacentral:rRNA from 1 species